rnacentral:rRNA from 1 species
UACGGGGGGGGUAAGCGUUGUUCGGAAUUACUGGGCGUAAAGGGCUCGUAGGCGGCCAACUAAGUCAUACGUGAAAUCCCUCAGCUUAACUGGGGAACUGCGUGUGAUACUGGAUGGCUUGGAUUUGGGAGAGGGAUGCGGAAUUCCAGGUGUAGCGGUGAAAUGCGUAGAUAUCGGGAGGAACACCAGUGGCGAAGGCGACUUCCUGGCCUGUUCUUGACGCUGAGGCGCGAAAGCUAGGGGAGCAAACGGG